UCGUGAUUAUUUUCUUCUACACCAAUUUAUUCACAAGUAGUUGGGCUCAAAGUUAUUAUUAUUAUUAAUUUUCUUUUAUUAUGAUUAUUAUAAUUAACAUUAGUACUAUUAUUAGUAUUAUUAUUAUUCGUUAAGAAAUUUCUAAACUUAGGCUAGAAAUUAAUACUAGAUUUGCUCCCAAAAGAUUCCAUCUCCGAAACUGGACUACUCUAAAAAAAAUACACAUUACUGCAUUCUCAUCUAUUAAAGGGAGUUGUGCCCAGAUUCAUUAUUUUCACUAAUUAAACCCAAAUGAAUUAUCAUUAGCCCAAUUCUAAUUAAAUAAGUGGCCCAACAAACAAAAAAAUUAGGAAACAAAAGAAGCCCUCAAUUCUAGGAUUUAUUAAUCCAUAUACUCCACCCACACACCGACAGUUUCUCUCUCUAACAACCUAUUCAAUCUCCUUCCCCAAUUUCACAAAUUAGGAAAGAAAAUCUCUCUUCCCAUUUCAGAGUUUCCGUCGACAGCCACCUUACCGGCGCCGCCUCCGCCUCCGCUUCCGUUUUCGUCUCCAGCGGUGUUUCCCUUCCUCCGCCUCAUCUCUCUCUAUUCUCUCCCUCAUUUCAAAGCAAUGUACAGCAGUCUUUCUCUUCUCUCCCUCUAUCGGUCUCACGCCGUCGCGCCGCCACCCCCCUCCGCUGGUCCAGAUUCGCCGCCGCCGCUCGUCUUACUCCCGGGAGUCCGCCGCUGCACGCUCCGUCUCUCUCUCUCCCUGUCGACUUCCCUCUCUCUACCUCCAGAUUCGCCACACCGCCGCCACCACUGCGGGUCCGACGUCGUCGCGGUUCGCGCCUCAGCCGACGUCGCCGAGAACUCCCCAGCCGCCGACGCCGACGCCGACUCCCGUCAGAUUUAAGGAAUGAUAAAAAGGGCAGAUGUGAUUUUGGAGCGUGGGCUGCUAUCGUUGGCGACGGAGUGCCGAGCUCGUUGGCGGAAGUUCUUCGGCAGAUUUACAGAUUGGUUCAAGAUAAGUUCUUAUAUUAAUUGAGAGAAUCUACAUUUUUUUUCUUGGGAUGCUAUGAAUACUAUGUCUUUGAGGUGCUAAAAAGUCUAAAUGAAACCUAUAAAUGCUAAAUUGGGGUUCUACAAUACUGGAUAUACUAAGUUCAUAUGUUGGCAGAGACAUGUUUUGCAAUAUGUGGUAAUAUGUGCAGAAAGAGUGAGGUGUUGUUGGUACUUGCUUUUGUGUUGUGAAGAAGAGAAUGAGUGGUUGAUUUUAGACUUUGUCCUCUGUGGGGUGGACGUCAUUUUCCUGGGGUGGAGGGAUUCUUACUGCUUUUGGAGAUGAGUUAAUUGUUAUGAGGUGGGCAAGUGAAAGGGAUUCAUGAUAUUUAGGAUGAGGAAAACAAGUUGCCAGACAUAAUCAUAUCUAAAAAAAAUUUUCGCCUGACACUUUAGAUAUGGCUGCAUGCUAUCAUUAAAUGCAGCAUUAAAUGCUGCUGAAAAAAAAAACGAUCCUCAGGGAUAUGUAUCAGCUUUUCAUAUUGCUUUAUCUUUCAAUUUGCCUUAUUUACUUAUUUAAAAUAUGUAUUUGUUUAUUAUGGUUUAAUUUGGUGUAGGAAAGAACCCGUUUCAAGCUCGUGGCUGUCCGCGUUGUAGUUCCCGAUCUUCUUUAGAACGAAGGAUGUAUUAAAUUAAAUUUUGUUGGACUUUUAUCGAAUGUAUCGGACAUUAUUAUUAUUUCGAUUUUUGAGAUCUUAUUUAUUUAUUUAAAUUUAUUAUAUU